rfam:Bacillus coahuilensis p1.1.43 ABFP000047, whole genome shotgun sequence.
UAAAUAAUAACAUUUGUACCGGAGACAGUAGGUGCCAUUUGGCUUAAUUUCCUGCCGAGGUCAUGCGAUAUAGAUUAUCUUGUCAUUUGACGUUAAUUCUUAUUGCCCUCGUGUCUUCCUAAAGUGCGAGGGCAUUUUAUAUGUCUUU